AUUUGUAAAUACCUGUGACCUAGUGUCGUGAGCGCUUAGCAACACCUGACACACACUAAGCUCUCAAUAAGUGGUAGCUUUAGUAUUACCAUUAUAUCCCAAUUAGUACAAGCACCUUACCUUUAUGCUUUCAUGGUUGUUCUAGGCCAGUGGUUCUGAAAGUGGUUCUAGACCAGCAACAACAGCAGUAGCAGCAGCACCUGUGAACUUGUUAGAAAUGCAAAGUUUCAGGCCCGUUCCAGUUCUACUGAAUCUGAAACUCGAAGGGAACAGCAACCUAUGUUUUAAUAAACCCCAAGAACUAUGGCUCCUUAACGCAGAAGGGCCCUUUUUUCUCAAAACAACCUCUGCAAGAUGUAACCUUGACUUCCCAGGAAAAUGAAAGGUAGUUAACAAUUUCCCCCAUCACCUAUGUAACUCCCUAAAUAAAUAAAAAUUACAGGCAGUUGCUCCUGGAGAUUACA
rnacentral:antisense_RNA from 1 species